UACAAAUGAUUCGGCUUUCAAGGUGGGCGGCUACACCCUUUAGAAAGGGGGUGUUGCCAUGACAACUUAUCAAGCGAUUUACUUAAUGAUUGCUUUCGGCAUGUUCACCGUGAGCCUUCUGACGUUCAUCGUUUCCUUGUUGUCGCUACUAAAGAAAAAAUAGACCCACCCUUGAGAGCCCGCUAAAGUUCUAAGGGAUUGGUCUAUUCGAAAAUCCUCUAAUGAGCUGCCCAUUUUGAAAGGGCCUCAUUCAUUUGUACCGACCCGGUUGCAGCCGG
rnacentral:sRNA from 1 species